CCUACGGGAGGCAGCAGUAGGGAAUGUUCGGCAAUGGGGGGAACCCUGACCGAGCAACGCCGCGUGAAGGAAGAAGGAAUUCGUUCUGUAAACUUCUGUUAUAAAGGAAGAAAGACGGAGGGAGGAAAUGACAUCCGAGUGACGGUACUGUAGGAGAAAGCAACGGCCAACUACGUGCCAGCAGCCGCGGUAAUACGUAGGUGGCAAGCGUUAUCCGGAAUUAUUGGGCGGAAAGAGGGAGAAGGCGGCAGCAAAGGUCUGUGGUGAAAGUCUGAAGCUUAACUUCAGGACGCCAUAGCAACCGGGCAGCUAGAGUGCAGGUGAGGAUCGUGGAAUUCCAUGUGUAGCGGU
rnacentral:rRNA from 1 species